UCUCUGAUUCAGCGGCGGACGGGUGAGUAAUGCCUAGGAAUCUGCCUGAUAGUGGGGGACAACGUUUCGAAAGGAACGCUAAUACCGCAUACGUCCUACGGGAGAAAGCAGGGGACCUUCGGGCCUUGCGCUAUCAGAUGAGCCUAGGUCGGAUUAGCUAGUUGGUGAGGUAACGGCUCACCAAGGCGACGAUCCGUAACUGGUCUGAGAGGAUGAUCAGUCACACUGGAACUGAGACACGGUCCAGACUCCUACGGGAGGCAGCAGUGGGGAAUAUUGGACAAUGGGCGAAAGCCUGAUCCAGCCAUGCCGCGUGUGUGAAGAAGGUCUUCGGAUUGUAAAGCACUUUAAGUUGGGAGGAAGGGCAUUAACCUAAUACGUUAGUGUUUUGACGUUACCGACAGAAUAAGCACCGGCUAACUUCGUGCCAGCAGCCGCGGUAAUACGAAGGGUGCAAGCGUUAAUCGGAAUUACUGGGCGUAAAGCGCGCGUAGGUGGUUUGUUAAGUUGAAUGUGAAAGCCCCGGGCUCAACCUGGGAACUGCAUCCAAAACUGGCAAGCUAGAGUAUGGCAGAGGGUGGUGGAAUUUCCUGUGUAGCGGUGAAAUGCGUAGAUAUAGGAAGGAACACCAGUGGCGAAGGCGACCACCUGGGCUAAUACUGACACUGAGGUGCGAAAGCGUGGGGGAGCAAACAGGAUUAGAUACCCUGGUAGUCCACGCCGUAAACGAUGUCGACUAGCCGUUGGGAUCCUUGAGAUCUUAGUGGCGCAGCUAACGCAUUAAGUCGACCGCCUGGGGAGUACGGCCGCAAGGUUAAAACUCAAAUGAAUUGACGGGGGCCCGCACAAGCGGUGGAGCAUGUGGUUUAAUUCGAAGCAACGCGAAGAACCUUACCA
rnacentral:rRNA from 1 species